rnacentral:rRNA from 1 species
AUGAAGCUGGAAUCGCUAGUAAUCGCGAAUCAGAAUGUCGCGGUGAAUACGUUCCCGGGUCUUGUACACACCGCCCGUCACACCAUGGGAGUCGGAAAUGCCCGAAGUCAGUGACCCAACCACAACGUGAACUUCGUUCGCGUGGAGGGAGCUGCCGAAGGUGGGGCCGGUAACUGGGGUGAAGUCGUAACAAGGUACC